GAUGAACGCUGGCGGCGUGCCUAAUACAUGCAAGUCGAGCGAACGGACGAGAAGCUUGCUUCUCUGAUGUUAGCGGCGGACGGGUGAGUAACACGUGGAUAACCUACCUAUAAGACUGGGAUAACUUCGGGAAACCGGAGCUAAUACCGGAUAAUAUUUUGAACCGCAUGGUUCAAAAGUGAAAGACGGUCUUGCUGUCACUUAUAGAUGGAUCCGCGCUGCAUUAGCUAGUUGGUAAGGUAACGGCUUACCAAGGCAACGAUGCAUAGCCGACCUGAGAGGGUGAUCGGCCACACUGGAACUGGAACACGGUCCAGACUCCUACGGGAGGCAGCAGUAGGGAAUCUUCCGCAAUGGGCGAAAGCCUGACGGAGCAACGCCGCGUGAGUGAUGAAGGUCUUCGGAUCGUAAAACUCUGUUAAUAGGGAAGAACAUAUGUGUAAGUAACUGUGCACAUCUUGACGGUACCUAAUCAGAAAGCCACGGCUAACUACGUG
rnacentral:rRNA from 1 species